AGGAGAACUGAGCCGGCGCCGCGCUUACCUCGCAGUCCUCGUACUUGAUAUUAUCCGUCAGUUUCCAAAGCAUUUUCAUGGAUCGGCGUGAACUGAUUGGCCCCCUCUCUGCCUCGCACCCAAGUGCAGCUACUCGCGGGCUCUUUACCCACAGCCUAAUCGCCUCAUUAGCAUAUCAACAAUAAUCCAAUUGCUCGCCAGCUCGACUAUCUGCCUCCGAACCAGGUAUAAAGGCCUCUUGGAGCCGCCAACUUGCUCCCGGAGCGCACGCCCGGCCGGUGAGCCCGGGAAAGCUCCCGAGCCCCGCCUCGCGCCCCUGCCCGUCCCCCCACCCCCAGUCCGCCCCAGCCCCCCACUCCGUCCCCUCCUAGAGGGAGCAGCCCGGCGCAGAGGCCAGGCUCUCAGCGCCGCUCCCCCACCUCUGCUGCUAAUAACGGCGCUGUCCUUCCGGCCCCCUCCCAUUUUAUUAGAAAUUAUCCUUUUCGCAAUUAAACAUAACCACCACACCAAGAUCAGCGAAGUCACGCCAGGACUUUUGCCCAAGAAAAGAUCGCCUCCGCCGGGCAGCCACCACCUCGGGCCGGAGCGUUGGGAGUUUUAUUGGCUUUGUGCUUCACCCCCAGGUCGGAGGUUUUGCCAAACGGCCUCCGUCGCUCGGCUGGGGUUUGCGAUUCUUUAAUUGCAGCGUGUAAAAUAAAAAUUGUACCCUGAAGAGGUUACUUGACAGCUCCAGGAGUUAAAUGAUUUUCCUCCCGUUUGUAUGGAGCCAGGGCCGAGUGAUAACUCGACGUGGUGUUUGGACGGAGGGCUUCCUGGGCGGGCUGUGGACAAGGACACGGAACUCCUAGAGAGGCUCCAGUCGCUUCUGGAGUGGAGCCGGAAUACUGACAUGUGUGCACUUGCAUGCAUCCAAAUAAGUCGCUGGGAACCAACUCUUCGCUGUGCUAAUCUGCUCCAGUUUUCCCAAGAUUCUCCUUUUUAAUUAAAGCAGGGAGAGUUCCUUCAUGAUUUGGUGAUGUUGCCCACGCGGGCGGGCGCGCUCGGGGCGCAGUGCCCGGCUGCCCCGGAACCGAAGGCCGGCCAGCCAUUCCCUCGGCCAACCGGUCUAGGCUCUCCCCCUCUACACAGGGGCCUGCUCACCCCAGGGCUGUGUUUUUUCUUCAGUUUUAGAAAAAUUUUUAAAGAGGAAAGAAAAAACAAAGACUGAUACUCAAAAGACAGAGUAGUCCGUUUCUCUGGCUGAGCUUCUUAAUA